rnacentral:rRNA from 1 species
GGAGUACCAUCAACGCCAUCAGGAGCCGGGAGCUUGCUCCCGGUGGCGAUUGGGAACGGGUGAGUAAUAUAUCGGAACGUACCCAGUCGUGGGGGAUAACUCUCCGAAAGGAGAGCUAAUACCGCAUACGUCCUGAGGGGGAAAGCGGGGGAUCGCAAGACCUCGCGCGAUUGGAGCGGCCGAUAUCGGAUUAGCUAGUUGGUGAGGUAAAGGCUCGCCAAGGCGACGAUCCGUAGCGGGUCUGAGAGGACGGCCCGCCACACUGGAACUGAGACACGGUCCAGACUCCUACGGGAGGCAGCAGUGGGGAAUUUUGGACAAUGGGGGCAACCCUGAUCCAGCCAUUCCGCGUGAGUGAAGAAGGCCUUCGGGUUGUAAAGCUCUUUCAGCAGGAACGAAACGGUCGACUUUAAUAAAGUCGUCUAAUGACGGUACCUGCAGAAGAAAGCACCGGCUAACUACGUGCCAGCAGCCGCGGUAAUACGUAGGGUGCGAGCGUUAAUCGGAAUUACUGGGCGUAAAGCGUGCGCAGGUGGCGACAUAAGACAGAUGUGAAAUCCCCGGGCUCAACCUGGGAACUGCGUUUGUGACUGUGUUGCUAGAGUGUAGCAGAGGGGGGUGGAAUUCCACGUGUAGCAGUGAAAUGCGUAGAGAUGUGGAGGAACACCGAUGGCGAAGGCAGCCCCCUGGGUUAACACUGACGCUCAUGCACGAAAGCGUGGGGAGCAAACAAGGAUUAGAUACCCUGGUAGUCCACGCCCUAAACGAUGCCAACUAGGUGUUGGGGGAGGAGACUUCCUUAGUACCGUAGCUAACGCGUGAAGUUGUCCGCCUGGGGAGUACGGUCGCAAGAUUAAAACUCAAAGGAAUUGACGGGGACCCGCACAAGCGGUGGAUGAUGUGGAUAAAGUCGAUGCAACGCGAAAAACCUUACCUACCCUGACAUGUCCGGAAUCCUGAAGAGAUUUGGAGGCUACGCAAGAGGCCCGACACAGUGNCNCAUCACUUUCUGCCAUCUAGANGGGCGUCCCGUGCUCC